GCCGAAAGGAGCUCCCAGACUGAGCCUAGUUUUGGUCGGGUCGAGCUCCUACCAGCGUCGCUGUCGCCACUACUCACCGUCGUCGGCCAAGGUGAGCACAGUACUUCCCUUCCCCUUCGCACUGACCUUUGGGGCGCUGUAGCACACUGGACCUUUGGAAAUUGCGAGGUUCGAGUAUUUGAUUUGUCUUCCGAACUUUUCCAUACUUGGUGGAGGGCCGUCGAUGGUAUACCGGCCUAAAAGUUCGAUCUCGAGAGUUUUGGCUGAGUCCUGAGAGUUUUUACUCUCGGGGACCGGUCCCUGAUAGGAGAGACCGGUCCCCCAGUGAACAGUGCUGCGUAGCCGGCGAGGCAACCGGUCCCUGGCAGUCGAGACCGGUCCCCGAGCGCGUCUGCGCGGGGAGAGACCGGUCCCGCGCAGGGAGAGACCGGUUCCCGAACGUUGGAUUUUCGGGGGCAGGCUGAGAGACCGGUCCCAGGUCGGGGAGACCGGUCCCUCUGGGCGAAAACUGCCCAGACCGGGCUGAUGUGAUUUUGGAUUUUUGAGGGGCUUAUCAGGAUUUUGUUACUUUAGAGCCUAUAGAGAGCCUUUCUUCUCUCUCUUUCCCUCAUUUCUCUCAACCCUUUGCAUUCUAGAGAGAGAAGAAGAGAGGGAGAAGGAGAAGAAGGAGAAGAAGAGGAGAAGGAGCUUGCUUGGAGGCCUUGGAGCACCAUCUUCUUCCUCAUUUCUCACCUUUGGAGACUUGGAGCUUGCUUUUGGAGCUUUGUGGUGGAUCAAACUUCAACCCUAAUUGGUUUUGAGCUUGGAUU
rnacentral:lncRNA from 1 species